GACGAACGCUGGCGGCGUGCUUAACACAUGCAAGUCGAACGGAAAGGCCCUGCUUUUGUGGGGUGCUCGAGUGGCGAACGGGUGAGUAACACGUGAGUAACCUGCCCUUGACUUUGGGAUAACUUCAGGAAACUGGGGCUAAUACCGGAUAGGAGCUCCUGCUGCAUGGUGGGGGUUGGAAAGUUUCGGCGGUUGGGGAUGGACUCGCGGCUUAUCAGCUUGUUGGUGGGGUAGUGGCUUACCAAGGCUUUGACGGGUAGCCGGCCUGAGAGGGUGACCGGCCACAUUGGGACUGAGAUACGGCCCAGACUCCUACGGGAGGCAGCAGUGGGGAAUAUUGCACAAUGGGCGGAAGCCGGAUGCAGCAACGCCGCGUGCGGGAUGGCGGCCUUCGGGUUGUAAACCGCUUUCGCCUGUGACGAAGCGUGAGUGACGGUAAUGGGUAAAGAAGCACCGGCUAACUACGUG
rnacentral:rRNA from 1 species